UUUGCAUGAGUUGAUUCUUUCUUUCCACUAUUUGAUUCCCAGGGAUCAAACUCAGGUUCUCAGACUUGGUAGCAAGUGCCUUAAUUCACUGAGCCAUCUUGCCAGCCCACCACUCAGUUUUUCCAGUGGUUCUUGAUGUCCUUAUGCUUUUAUGAAAGUACUUUAACUACUGAGUCAUCUCCCCAGCUCUUAAAUCUUCUUUAAGCAUGAAAACUUGAUUCAAGUAACGUGGGUGUUCUGGGUAAGCAAACAAGCAUAAUAAAACACAAUUAAUGAAAGGACAUAAUCCAAUUCUUUUUGUAGUUUUAUUUAAAAACCAAGGUCAGCAUUAUUUUUAUUAGGAAAAUACACUAAGGAAAAUUCCAAACAUCUCAGACAAUUAAAAAAUUAUCUUAGGGGCUGGGGAGAGCACACACUGCUCUUGCAGAGAACCAAAGCUUGGUUCCCAGCACCCAGGUUGGACAGCUCACAACCAUCUGUAAGUACAGCUUCAGGGGAUUCCAUACUUUCUCCUAGACCCUGUGGACACCUGAACUCAUGCACACACACUAAAAAAUAUUUUUAAAAAUUUAAAAUCUAAGUAUAAAAGGAUCAAGAAGGGUGUUAUAGCCUGGUAUAGACACACACCUUUAACCCCAGCACUCAAGAGGCAGAGGCAGAUAGAUCUCUGUGAGCUCAAGACCAGCCUAGUCUGCAUAGCAAGUUACAGACCAGCUGAGGCUACAGAGAGACCCUGCCUCAAACAAACAAACAAGCAAACAAACAAAAGUAUGUUAUUAUUACUGCGUGUGUGCAUGAUGCGUGUAUAUAGGUGCACAUGCACAGAUGUGGAGGUCAAAGGACAACUUGUGAAGUCUGUCCUCCUUGCACCUUUAGAUAGGCUCUGGGAAUUGAACUUGUCUCCAGACUUGCAAGGCAAGCACUUUUACUGCUGAGCCAUCUCACUGCUCCCUUCCCCCUUUUAAAAGUGAUAGAUUUUAUAUUUAGAGGAAUUAAUGGAGAUGACUUUAAAGAGGCCAAAGGAUUUAAUUAAUUUUGACAAUUAAAUGUUUUACAGUGCCAUUUGUUUAUUUAGUCAUCAAUCCAGAGAAUUUAAGAUCAUAAGCACAAUUAAAAUUUUGGACAAUAAGCAAAUUUUUACAAAUAAUUUAAACAUUUGACCAUUAAAAUGGAUUGUUACAAUCAUUAUGUACUUUAGCAGGAAUGUCCCAAGUAGGAAGAAUUUGAAUUCUUUCUGACAAAUGACUGGCUUUCUGAAAAGGUAAGGUUUACAGAAUGCUGCUCUCUGAGCAUAACAGCCAUGGCCAUCUUCAUCAGUCAGCUGUGACUGUUCUCCAGAGACCCUGUAGAUUGUGCCUACUGAUAGUCCCUUUUAGAAGGGAGGGGAGUGAGAGAUGACCGACCCUCACUUGCAAUCUCAGCCCCUUCCUCCUCAUGAGCAUCUGGCCCUGCAAACAUUAUAUAGUUCUGUCCUAAUUCCACGUGGCCUGGUGGUCUCAGGAGGUGCUAGAGCUUGUAGAGGGUGGAAGGCUAACUGAAGGGAAGACUCCAUUUGUGCAGCUAUGGGGGACAUCAUCAUCCAUGCUGGCAGGAUGCUUUUCAGUGGUGUGACUGCUUUGGGGUCAGCCUCUGAAAGUAGUAGAUUUGGAAGAGGACUGUCAGGAGCUUUGACAGAAGCUGCAAGGCCCCUGCUUCCGGGGACAGGUCCCAUACUCCUGUAAAGUGACCCCUUGCCUAUGCUUUGUAAGUCAGCCCAAUAAACUCAUUGUUUUACCAAAUUGGGCUUUGUUGGAAUCAUUACUUGGGUCUGCCAUUGAAACCCUAUCUGGGCCGCAGGUGUUUAAGUCUCCCCAGGAAAAGUUCAUGCAACGCUAGGCUCUGGAACAGGGACACAACAGAACCAAAGAUGUGUUUGGAAGGCAGCUAUCCUCACCAAUAUACCAUCAAGUUUGGGAAGAGCAAUUACAUUGUUCCUAGUAGGGGUGAUGAGACAUACAAGAGAAGCUAGGCUGUCUGAGGGUGGACCAUCUGCAGGGGAGUCUCUGUGAGGCCGUCAUUCUCCAUGCUUUAUGGAAUGGUGGAUGGCUGCGUACUGUGAUAGCCGUUGCAUUGCCCCCACCAUAGAUGACAAGACAAGCAACCAAGACUAAGUCAUUUGCCCAGAGGGGAAGUUUUAGUGAGAAGUCCAUGGGGGAAUGCCAGUAGGGCUGUGUUCCUCUAAGUCUAACAGGGUGGCAUGCCUCUUUGAUGAAUUUGGUCUACCAAGACAGUCCAGGGGCAUCCUGAGAAUGGAUGAAGGACUGAAGAGUCCUCCAACUGCAGCCUCUGAAAGUAGCAGAUUUGGAAGAGGACUGUCAGGAGCUUUGGCAGAAGCUGCAAGGCCCCUGCUGUGGGAGACAGGACCUGCAACUGAGGCUCGGCUGUCUGCCCAGAAAGAACUUGCCCAUAGCCCCCUGGAGGCUUUGUCCACUGGGACUGAGCUCAGAAACCGAAGCAGCUGCGGACAUCUUAACUGUGGGCAAGAGGCGCUAAUUACCAGGGAACCUUCAACAGCAGCAGCAGGGGACAAAUUCUAGUGUGGACAAACCCAGAACCAACAUGUGAACAUACUCGAGCUAUUAAAUGCCUUUCUCUAAAAUCAGAAGACA